rnacentral:lncRNA from 1 species
AUGGAAAAUCUAAGGUUUUUCAUGACCAUUUAUAUUGGCGUGAUGAUGGCAAAUUAAGUUUGCAAGAACGGGAAUUUCCUGGCCGAAAAAUGAAUCGAGACAUAUUUAUCAUGCUCGCGAACUAAACUUCUCAUCCUAGGCAAACAUAAUAUACCAUGAAAAACGUUUGAUUUGCCAUGGUAAAAUUUGAAGUCAGAUUUGUAUUGGAGUCCUUUAUUUAAUUCACUUACAUUUUAAUAUUUUGUUCUUAAUAAUCAAUGACAUUUCCAAUGGAUUAUUAUAAUCAUCCUUAAUUAACUAUUUGUUAGCUCGGUAGAUAAUCCCAAUGCAGGGACUAGCAUAGCAAUAUUUUUUUUGUAGGUGCAUCCACUCUCAUGAGUGAAGCGAAUCCACAUGCUUGGGAAGUGUCUCUCGUGCCAUAGAUAGGGUGCGAGAUAGCUAUCCACUUUGUUUCACCAAAUCCAUCCUCAACCACCCCAUGAUAUUUCCUUCCAAAAUUACUAUCCAUCUGCAUUAUUUCUGGGAACACAUUAUGUGUUUCUUGUUUACGAAGGUAUAUCAAUGGGUAGUUGUACAAGAACUAAACUAGGGUUUGUUGUCAUUAUUGCUCUUUCUGUUUAUUGAACUCAUGUGAUUCAUAUUUCUUAGAAGAUUGUUCACGAAUAUAUGUUUUAUACAUCCGGCUAGGAAAAUGCAUCUUGAGUGUUUUCGAUCGAUUGGCUCAUAAUAGACUAGUCGUGACACCCUCAUAGUUAAGCUACAGUAAUCACACGCUAAUGUUGCCAUGUCAUCAAGGUUAAGUAAGCCAAGUUUCCACUUGAUAAAAAUAAAAGCCAAUUUCAAAUUAAAAAUAAAAUAAAAACAAUAUUUAUUAAAACAACAAAAUGAAAAUGUUUGAUGUGUUGCAAAUAUUCACUAACUAAUUUUCAUGAAGAAACCAACAUAAUGUUGGAUUUCCCAAUUGCCCUAGAAAUAUUUAAAGUGACCCAACAACAUUAAAUUUGGCCAUUUUUAAGUGAACAAAUAGUUAUGCUGUCCAAAUAUAUGUGAAACCUUAUGGACAAUUCCAAAAUAUUGCUUAGUAAUUUUGGGAC